UACGGAGGGUGCAAGCGUUGUCCGGAUUUAUUGGGUUAAAGGGUGCGUAGGCGGCCCGGUAAGUCAGUGGUGAAAGCCUCCAGCUCAACUGGAGAACUGCCAUUGAUACUGCGGGCUUGAGUACAGACGAGGUUGGCGGAAUUGAUUGUGUAGCGGUGAAAUGCAUAGAUACAAUCAAGAACUCCGAUUGCGUAGGCAGCUAACUAGGCUGUAACUGACGCUGAGGCACGAAAGCGUGGGGAGCGAACAGG
rnacentral:rRNA from 1 species